rnacentral:lncRNA from 1 species
AUUGCUGUCUGGACCAAUUUUUUAUUGCUUGGUGGUGGUGGUGUGGUUGAUGAAGAAGAUGAAGUUGGAUGGUGGUGUGGAAGAAGAAGAAGAAGAUGUUGGUUGUUGUUGAAGAAAAUGAAGAACAAAAUUAGUGUUUAAAAAAUAUGAGCAAGAGCAAGAUCACAAAACCCCUUUCCCAUGGCCAUGGCUCUGCUUCUCGCGAAGUAGAAGAAGGAGACAAUAACUCAAACCCCUCUUUUUAUGCAAUCUUUUUUUUUUGUUUUUCAAUCAUUUAUUAAUAUUUACAUUAAAAAAUUUAAAGUUAUGCUUUUUAUUGUGCCACGUGUCCCAAUUAAUAUAGGCCACGUGGCAUUCCGUUAAGUGUUCCCAUUUUUUAAACGGCUGGUGUAAC